AAAGGUGUAGCUCAGUGGUAGAGCACAUGCUUAGCAUGCACGAGGUCCUGGGUUCAAGCCCCAAUACCUCCA
rnacentral:tRNA from 1 species